UAACGCGUGGGCAACCUGCCUCAUACAGGGGGAUAGCAUCGGGAAACUGGUGGUAAAACCGCAUAAGCGCACGAAGACGCAUGUAUUCGGUGUGAAAAGGAGAAAUCUGGUAUGAGAUGGACCCGCGUCUGAUUAGCUAGUUGGAGUGGUAAAAGCACACCAAGGCGACGAUCAGUAGCCGGCCUGAGAGGGUGGACGGCCACAUUGGGACUGAGACACGGCCCAGACUCCUACGGAAGGCAGCAG
rnacentral:rRNA from 1 species